rnacentral:rRNA from 1 species
AACGAACGCUGGCGGCAGGCUUAACACAUGCAAGUCGAACGCCCCGCAAGGGGAGUGGCAGACGGGUGAGUAACGCGUGGGAACAUACCCUUUUCUACGGAAUAGCUCUGGGAAACUGGAAUUAAUACCGUAUACGCCCUACGGGGGAAAGAUUUAUCGGGGAAGGAGUGGCCCGCGUUGGAUUAGCUAGUUGGUGGGGUAAAGGCCUACCAAGGCGACGAUCCAUAGCUGGUCUGAGAGGAUGAUCAGCCACAUUGGGACUGAGACACGGCCCAAACUCCUACGGGAGGCAGCAGGGGGGAAUAUUGGACAAUGGGCGCAAGCCUGAUCCAGCCAUGCCGCGUGAGUGAUGAAGGCCUUAGGGUUGUAAAGCUCUUUCACCGAUGAAGAUAAUGACGGUAGUCGGAGAAGAAGCCCCGGCUAACUUCGUGCCAGCCGCCGCAGUAACAC